AUUGAACGCUGGCGGCAUGCUUUACACAUGCAAGUCGAACGGUAACAGGCCGCAAGGUGCUGACGAGUGGCGAACGGGUGAGUAAUGCAUCGGAACGUGCCCAGUCGUGGGGGAUAACUACUCGAAAGAGUAGCUAAUACCGCAUACGAUCUAUGGAUGAAAGCGGGGGACCGUAAGGCCUCGCGCGAUUGGAGCGGCCGAUGUCAGAUGAGGUAGUUGGUGGGUAAAGGCUCACCAAGCCAACGAUCUGUAGCUGGUGUGAGAGGACGACCAGCCACACUGGGACUGAGACACGGCCCAGACUCCUACGGGAGGCAGCAGUGGGGAAUUUUGGACAAAGGGCGCAAGCCUGAUCCAGCAAUGCCGCGUGCAGGAAGAAGGCCUUCGGGUUGUAAACUGCUUUUGUACGGAACGAAACGGCUCUGGUUAAUACCCGGGGCUAAUGACGGUACCGUAAGAAUAAGCACCGGCUAACUACGUG
rnacentral:rRNA from 1 species